rnacentral:rRNA from 1 species
GACGUAGGAGGCAAGCGUUAUCCAGAAUUACUGGGCGUAAAGCGCACGCAGGCGGUCUGUCAAGUUCGAGGUGACAGUCACCAGCUUCACUGGUGGAGUGCCUUGAAAACUGGCGAACUUGGGGGCCAGAGAGGGACAUGGAAUUCCGGGUGGAGUGGUGAAAUGCGUAGAGAUCCGGAGGAACACCGAAGGCGAAGGCAGUGUCCUGGCUGGUACCUGACGCUCAGGUGCGAAAGCUAGGGGAG